rnacentral:lncRNA from 1 species
GGUGGCACUGAGUUUGCACGCUGCCCAAAUAAAUGAGUGGACAGUAUCUGCACCAUGCAAACGGGUGUAGUUCCAUGAAAUACUGGAAGGAACGAGUUACAUCAGAUACGUACAGAGACAAACCGGUCCAAGCAGAAAGCUCUCCACAGACAUCACAACUGCCACUUCCAGGUGGAUGUGAAAGUUCUCUGUUGUUGUCAGUCAGGUCUUCUAAAGGAAAACACGUCCAGUGAUUUAUCUGGAAAAAGCUGAAGUGCAAUCUCAUCUGCAAUCACGAUGGAGCAAAAGAAGAAAAUCUGGCCCAAUCUCCGUGAGAGAGCCAAGCCCAUCUUAAAUCUGAAGAUCGGAAAGAAGGGUUUGGGGAAGAAGAAAAAGACCCCUCUGAAAUACAGAAGGAGUAUGUCGGUACCAGACAUCAGGAUUAAUCCCAGUGCCAUGAUGGCUUUGCAGGAUGAUUCCAGGACACCAGGUCAAGGCUCCUGCUUCUUUGGAAACGUGGAGGGUUCAUGUGACUUGGAUGAAACAGCAAGUGAAACCUCCAGUACUGCCUUAUCUGAGCAGUUAAGUGUCGCAGACAUGCCAUACUCCUGCAGCCCCGCGCCAUCAGAGAGAACAGUUCCUGUUGACUUUCCAGUUGCAGUGGAAACUGAUAAGCGGCAAAGAGCCACCACAUGGUACAUAGAUGAUUUAGAUGCUGUGACUGGACCUGUACAUUCACAUACAGAAAGACAGAUGACACCUGUGCCUGCAGAAAGAAAAUCACCUGGUCAGAGACCAAAGGACCCCUCAGACAAAGUGGCUGCAGCCCUUAGUAGAGCCGGUGCAGGAAGACAGACGCCUCCUGCACGAGGUGCAGACGAAAUGUCUACACUGACCAUCACAGAGUCAGUCAGCACUACUCCACCUGAAGAGAAAACCUGCAUUUCAUGUCCUACUGAGCACGAGCCGUUCUCUCAAGUGGACAUGUUCAUUGCAGGGUCAGCUGAGGACAUGGACAUUCCCAAUGAAACCAGUGAUUUUGAUACACUUCCAGAGCAAGAACGAAACAUCCCAGCAGGAUUAAACGACAGUCAAAAUCAAGGUGCUUCAGCACAGCAGAAGGUCCAGUAUCUCCUCACCAUCAACCUAAAGGAAGGCAGAAGCCUGGUUAUCAGAGACCGCUCAGGUAUUGACCUCUGACUAAUACAGAUGGUUAAACUAGAA